UACGGAGGGUGCAAACGUUGCUCGGAAUCAUUGGGCGUAAAGCGCACGUAGGCGGUCCAGCAAGUCGGGUGUGAAAGCCCUCGGCUUAACCGGGGAAGUGCAUUCGAAACUACUGGACUUGAGUACUGAAGAGGAUCGCGGAAUUCCCGGUGGAGUGGUGAAAUGCGUAGAGAUCAGGAAGAACACCCGUGGCGAAGGCGGCCUACUGGGCCGGUGCUGACGCUGAGGCGCGAAGGCGUGGGGAGCGAACGGG
rnacentral:rRNA from 1 species